GGGAUAACGCUUAGAAAUAGGUGCUAAUACCGCAUAAGCGCACAGAGCCGCAUGGCUUGGUGUGAAAAACUCCGGUGGUAUGCGAUGGGCCCGCGUCUGAUUAGCUUGUUGGCGGGGCAGCGGCCCACCAAGGCGACGAUCAGUAGCCGGCCUGAGAGGGUGGACGGCCACAUUGGGACUGAGACACGGCCCGGACCCCUACGGGAGGCAGCAGUGGGGAAUAUUGCACAAUGGGGGGAACCCUGAUGCAGCGACGCCGCGUGAGUGAAGAAGUAUUUCGGUAUGUAAAGCUCUAUCAGCAGGGAAGAAAAUGACGGUACCUGACUAAGAAGCCCCGGCUAACUACGUGCCAGCAGCCGCGGUAAUACGUAGGGGGCAAGCGUUAUCCGGAUUUACUGGGUGUAAAGGGAGCGCAGACGGCUGUGCAAGUCUGGAGUGAAAGGCGGGGGCCCAACCCCCGGACUGCUCUGGAAACUGUAAAGCUGGAGUGCAGGAGAGGUAAGCGGAAUUCCUAGUGUAGCGGUGAAAUGCGUAGAUAUUAGGAGGAACACCAGUGGCGAAGGCGGCUUACUGGACUGCAACUGACGUUGAGGCUCGAAAGCGUGGGGAGCAAACAGGAUUAGAUACCCUGGUAGUCCACGCCGUAAACGAUGAUUAAUAGGUGUCGGGGGGUAAGGACCCGCCGGUGCCGCAG
rnacentral:rRNA from 1 species